rnacentral:tRNA from 1 species
UGGGUUGUGGCUCAGUGAUAGAGCGCUUGCCUUGCACAUGUGAGACACUGGGUUCAAUCCUCAGCACCACAU